UACGGGGGGGGCAAGCGUUGUUCGGAAUUACUGGGCGUAAAGGGCGCGUAGGCGGGUGGGCAAGUCUCUCGUGAAAGCCCACGGCUCAACCGUGGAAUUGCGGGAGAUACUGUCUGUCUUGAGUCCGGGAGAGGAGGGUGGAAUUCCCAGUGUAGCGGUGAAAUGCGUAGAUAUUGGGAGGAACACCGGUGGCGAAGGCGGCUCUCGGGACCGGUAAUGACGCUGAGGCGCGAAAGCUAGGGGAGCAAACGGG
rnacentral:rRNA from 1 species